AUUGAACGCUGGCGGCAUGCUUUACACGUGCAAGUCGAACGGUAACAGGCCUUCGGGUGCUGACGAGUGGCGAACGGGUGAGUAAUGCAUCGGAACGUGCCCAGAGGUGGGGGAUAACGCAGCGAAAGCUGUGCUAAUACCGCAUGUGAUCUGAGGAUGAAAGCGGGGGACCAAGCAGCAAUGUUUGGCCUCGCGCCUCUGGAGCGGCCGAUGUCAGAUUAGGUAGUUGGUGGGGUAAAGGCCUACCAAGCCGACGAUCUGUAGCUGGUCUGAGAGGACGACCAGCCACACUGGGACUGAGACACGGCCCAGACUCCUACGGGAGGCAGCAGUGGGGAAUUUUGGACAAUGGGCGCAAGCCUGAUCCAGCAAUGCCGCGUGCGGGAAGAAGGCCUUCGGGUUGUAAACCGCUUUUGUACGGAACGAAAAGGCUCUGGCUAAUACCUGGGGCUGAUGACGGUACCGUAAGAAUAAGCACCGGCUAACUACGUG
rnacentral:rRNA from 1 species